rnacentral:rRNA from 1 species
AGAGUUUGAUCAUGGCUCAGAUUGAACGCUGGCGGCAGGCCUAACACAUGCAAGUCGAGCGGAUGAAGGGAGCUUGCUCCUGGAUUCAGCGGCGGACGGGUGAGUAAUGCCUAGGAAUCUGCCUGGUAGUGGGGGAUAACGUCCGGAAACGGGCGCUAAUACCGCAUACGUCCUGAGGGAGAAAGUGGGGGAUCUUCGGACCCCACGCUAUCAGAUGAGCCUAGGUCGGAUUAGCUAGUUGGUGGGGUAAAGGCCUACCAAGGCGACGAUCCGUAACUGGUCUGAGAGGAUGAUCAGUCACACUGGAACUGAGACACGGUCCAGACUCCUACGGGAGGCAGCAGUGGGGAAUAUUGGACAAUGGGCGAAAGCCUGAUCCAGCCAUGCCGCGUGUGUGAAGAAGGUCUUCGGAUUGUAAAGCACUUUAAGUUGGGAGGAAGGGCAGUAAGUUAAUACCUUGCUGUUUUGACGUUACCAACAGAAUAAGCACCGGCUAACUUCGUGCCAGCAGCCGCGGUAAUACGAAGGGUGCAAGCGUUAAUCGGAAUUACUGGGCGUAAAGCGCGCGUAGGUGGUUCAGCAAGUUGGAUGUGAAAUCCCCGGGCUCAACCUGGGAACUGCAUCCAAAACUACUGAGCUAGAGUACGGUAGAGGGUGGUGGAAUUUCCUGUGUAGCGGUGAAAUGCGUAGAUAUAGGAAGGAACACCAGUGGCGAAGGCGACCACCUGGACUGAUACUGACACUGAGGUGCGAAAGCGUGGGGAGCAAACAGGAUUAGAUACCCUGGUAGUCCACGCCGUAAACGAUGUCGACUAGCCGUUGGGAUCCUUGAGAUCUUAGUGGCGCAGCUAACGCGAUAAGUCGACCGCCUGGGGAGUACGGCCGCAAGGUUAAAACUCAAAUGAAUUGACGGGGGCCCGCACAAGCGGUGGAGCAUGUGGUUUAAUUCGAAGCGACGCGAAGAACCUUACCUGGCCUUGACAUGCUGAGAACUUUCCAGAGAUGGAUUGGUGCCUUCGGGAACUCAGACACAGGUGCUGCAUGGCUGUCGUCAGCUCGUGUCGUGAGAUGUUGGGUUAAGUCCCGUAACGAGCGCAACCCUUGUCCUUAGUUACCAGCACCUCGGGUGGGCACUCUAAGGAGACUGCCGGUGACAAACCGGAGGAAGGUGAGGAUGACGUCAAGUCAUCAUGGCCCUUACGGCCAGGGCUACACACGUGCUACAAUGGUCGGUACAAAGGGUUGCCAAGCCGCGAGGUGGAGCUAAUCCCAUAAAACCGAUCGUAGUCCGGAUCGCAGUCUGCAACUCGACUGCGUGAAGUCGGAAUCGCUAGUAAUCGUGAAUCAGAAUGUCACGGUGAAUACGUUCCCGGGCCUUGUACACACCGCCCGUCACACCAUGGGAGUGGGUUGCUCCAGAAGUAGCUAGUCUAACCGCAAGGGGGACGGUUACCACGGAGUGAUUCAUGACUGGGGUGAAGUCGUAACAAGGUA